UACGUAGGGGGCAAGCGUUGUUCGGAAUUACUGGGCGUAAAGGGCGCGUAGGCGGCCUUCUAAGUCGCACGUGAAAUCCCCGGGCUCAACCCGGGAACUGCGUCCGAUACUGGAAGGCUUGAAUCCGGGAGAGGGAUGUGGAAUUCCAGGUGUAGCGGUGAAAUGCGUAGAUAUCUGGAGGAACACCGGUGGCGAAGGCGACAUCCUGGACCGGUAUUGACGCUGAGGCGCGAAAGCCAGGGGAGCAAACGGG
rnacentral:rRNA from 1 species